UACGAAGGGGACUAGCGUUGUUCGGAAUUACUGGGCGUAAAGCGCGCGUAGGCGGAUCGCUAAGUCAGGGGUGAAAUCCCAGGGCUCAACCCUGGAACUGCCUUUGAUACUGACGAUCUGGAGAUCGGGAGAGGUUGGUGGAAUUCCGAGUGUAGAGGUGAAAUUCGUAGAUAUUCGGAGGAACACCAGAAGCGAAGGCGGCCAACUGGCCCGAUACUGACGCUGAGGCGCGACAGCGUGGGGAGCAAACAGG
rnacentral:rRNA from 1 species